ACUGACCAAAGCACUGGGGGAGUAUGAUAUUUUCCAGGCUGUUGUUUGAGUGGUGUUAAGAAAAGCUAUAUUGAAAUGUAAGCUCUUCGUAAGGGUGCGCAGAUGGUAUUCUCUGAUUGCUAUGGAGAAGUCUCUUCUCCCAGUAGGGAACGUAACUCAUCUGCCCCACUGAGAGCUGUGCAUGCUGGGCAAGGAUGGAAACAGAUAGGCAGAGCAGCAGCCCCUGUCAGCUUUGAGCACAGUGUUGGGCUUUGCUGAUUGUGUGCAAGUAAAACUUUGAACAGGAAAAUCAAUUAAGUUCAGGUUGGUGCAAUCAAAGUCUAGAUGAAGAAAAUCAAAAUAAAUCAACAUCAGUUUGCCUCUGACCUGGAAAAGAGGAGAGGAGUGCCUUUUAACAGUGUAGAUGGAUAUUCACAACAGCAAUCUGAGCUUUGAAGCUUGUUUCUAUUUACAGGCAGACAAGAGUGGCUUGUAUCAGGGAACUGAGAGGCCUUAACAGCCCUUUUUAUGAGAGCAACUGUCCAGAUGCCUGCCUACCAUCAUCACUGUCAGCCACUAAGGACCUACACCUUUUCUCCAUACGCUAAAAAACAAGCUAGUUCAGACAUUCACAAACUUGCUCUUCUCUUGAAGUCUGUAUCUGGCAUUGCCUUUCUCUGAGUGGCAGAAUACCUUCCAAUUUUUUAUUUGAUCACUUUUGCUCUUUGACAUAAAUCUUUCCCUGACAUGUUUUACUUUGACUGUUCCUAAUAUAGCUGUGCCUAAUGAGACAAAUUCCAAUAGCAGAAGUACUGAUUACGGGAUUAACAGUUUCAUAUCCGAGCAACCAUGAAACUGUAGAGUUCUCUAUUCUUGGAGAUGUCAGAAGGGUGACUAGCAAAACUGCUGUCUUGAACUUCAAGAGGGUGGACUUUGACCUGUUCAGGACGCUUGUAGCACGGGUCCCCUGGGAGUCGCUCCUUAAGGGUAAAGGGAUCCAGGAAGCCUGGACGCUCCUCAAGAUGGAAAUCUUAAAGGCACAAGAACUGGCUGUCCCUGAAUGCCAUAAGGCAAUCCAUAAGGGAAGAAGACUAGUGUGGAUGAACUGGGAAUUACUGUUGAGACUUCUGAAGAAAAGGAGAGUCUAUGUCCUCUGGAAGAAAGGACAGGCUACUCGGGGAGAUUACAAGGAAGUUGCUAAGGUAUGCAGGGAGGACGUUAGGAAGGCAAAAGCCCAACUUGAACUCAGAUUGGCCACUGCAGUAAAAGAGAAUAAGAAAUCCUUUUACAAAUAUAUCAAUAGAAAGAGAAGAACCAAGGGGAAUUUCCAUCCUUUACUUGAUGCAGCGGGGAAUGUGGCCAGUGAGGAUAAGGAGAAGGCUGAGAUCCUCAAUGCUUUCUUUACAUCUGCCUUUAAUAGUCAGAUCAGUUAUCCUCAGGACACUUUGUGCCCUGAUCUGGAAGUCUGGGAUGCUAUGCAGGAUACACCCCCAGUGAUUCAGGUGGAGACCACUAGAGAGCCCCUCCUCCAUCUGGACUGUCACAAAUCCAUGGGACCAGAUGGUCUCCACCCUCGGGUACUGAGGGAGCCGGUGGGGAUGAUUGCUGAGCCUCUCUCUGCCAUCUACCAGCGCUCCUGGUUAUCUGGAGAGGUCCCAGAGGAUUGGAGGCUUGCUGAUGUGACUCCCAUCUGCAAGAGCAAUAAGGAGGAUCCAGGGAACUACAGGCCUGUCAGCCUGACCUCGGUAGUGGGGAAAGUUAUGGAGCAAAUCAUCUUGGGUGAGAUCACAUGGCACAUGAGUGGCAUCCAGGGGAUCAGGCCCGGCCAGCACAGGUUCAUGAAAGGCAGGUUAUACUUGACCAGCCUCAUCUCCUAUGACUGGGUGACCAGGCUGGUUGAUCAGGGAAAGGCUGUCGAUGUAGUCUACCUAGACUUCAGCAAAGCCUUUGACAUGGUCUCUCACAGUAUUCUCCUGGGGAAACUGGCUGCCUGUGGCCUGGACAGGUAUACCCUUCUUUGGGUAAGGAAUUGGCUAGAGGGCUGUGCCCAACGGGUAGUGGUUAAUGGAGUUAAGUCCAGCUGGUGACCUGUUUCAAGUGGUGUUCCCCAGGGGUCAGAUGGGGCCCAUCUUGUUUAAUAUCUUUAUUGAUGACCUAGAUGAAGGGAUUGAAUGCACCCUUAGUAAGCUUGAAGAUGACUCCAAGUUGGGAGGUGGUGUAGAUCUGCCUGAGGGUAGGGAGGACCUUCAGAGGAAUCUAGAUAAGCUGGAUUGCUAGGCUGAGGUGAAUGGGUUGAAGUUCAACAAGGCCACGUGCCGGGUCCUGCAGUUUGGCCACAAUAACCCCAUGCAGCGCUAUAGGCUUGGGGCUGAGUGGCUGGAUGACUGUGAAGAGGAAAGGGACCUGGGGAUGUUGGUUGAUGCUCGGCUGAACAUGAGCCAACAGUGUGCCCAGGUGGCCAAGAGGGCCAACGCCAUCCUGGUCUGCAUUAGAAAUAGUGUGGCCAGCAGGAGCAGGGAGGUAAUCAUCCCCCUGUACUCAGCACUGGUGAGGCUGCACCUUGAGUAUUGUGUUCAGUUUUGGGCCCCUCACUACAAGAAAGAUAUUGAGGCCCUGGAACGUGUCCAGAGAAGAGCAACAAAACUGGUGAGGGGUCUGGAGCACAAGUCUUAUGAGGAGUGGCUGAGGGAGCUGGGAUUGUUCAGUCUGGAGAUGAAGGGAGGUUGUGAUGAGGAGGGGUUUGGCCUCUUCUCCCAGGCAACAGACAGAACCCGAGGAAAUGGCUACAAGUUGUACCAGAGGAGGGUUAGGUUAGACAUAAGGAAAAGCUUUUUCUCUCAGACAGUGGUGAGGAGCUGGAAUGGCCUACCUAUGGAGGUGGUGGAGUUGCCAUCCCUGGUGGUGUUCAAGAGGCGUCUGGAUGAGGAGCUACGAGAUAUGGUUUAGUGGCUUGUGGUAGCAAGGGUAAUGGGAGGACAGUUGGACUAGAUGAUCUUGUAGGUCCUUUCCAACCUUGUGAUUCUGUGAUUCUAUGAUUCUGUGAUUCUAUGAUUCUAUGAUUCUAUGAUAUCCAUUACCCUGGGGCAAUAAAUAGAAAAAAUAAUAUUCAGCAUACUACUACAGUGAAAGAACUCAUGCCAUACCUGGAAAAUAUUUAGUUUCUCCAUUGAAAUGAACUUAAAGGAUGCAAGACCAAAGCUUGAGAAAGGAAAAUGUGUAGUCACAAACACUGCAUGUUCUACUAUAUUUCUCAAAAACAGGGCCUCAGGGAAGAAAAAGGCUUUGUAUAAGCAACUGGGUUAGAAACUGAGACAAUUUAUCAACCUAAUAAGAUCAACAUUUAUGUGUAAAGAUAAGUAAAUAUUGACUAGGUAAAUAUAGCCUGAUAAACAGAUCAAUCUGUUUCUCUGUUAGAACUACAUAGGAAUUAACAAGCUUAAUAAUGUUCAGUAUUUUAU
ensembl:lncRNA